AUAGUCAUUCAAUGAUGGAUUUAAUUGAGGCUUUGUGAUGCACACAACUAAAGCUCCCAGGGCUUUUAGCAUAAAACAAGAUCUGAGGUCUGAAUGGGGAAUCUCCAGGUCUGCUGAGAACAGAAUCAGAGAUAUGACCACUGUAUUUAAUUUUCCUCUUACUUGUUUUUCUUUUUCUUUUUCAUGUGUUGAAUGUUAGGAGGAAAAACAGACGUUGCAGAUGGCAAAAGGAUGUCAUAGGUUCGGGCUGGAGUCAAAGGUCAACCAGGGAAUCAGUUUCUCUGUUUUUUUUUUAUCUGUGAAUCUUUUAAGGUUAACAUUAUGCCUGCACUUCAUCCCUGGGAGUACUCCCAGGAAGAGCUUAGCUGUCUAGCUCCUGUGCACAAAUGUCCUAUCACAACCAGCAUCAUUACCUUUGAAAAGAUUUUUCCAAUGAAGAGCUAUGAAAUCUCCAUUUCUGGACUAAUUUGAUUUUGAAAAGCUCACUGUUAUUUCAGAAAGGAUUAUUACCAGGAAGAGAUAAGGAGUCUUCUUCCUGUUGACAAGCUCACUAUUUCUUUUCAAAGAUACCAGAGAAGACAGAAGACAGAUGUCCAGGCAGUGGCUCUCCUACCAUCCAGACAGCCUGGGGCUGUCCACCGGUGCUGUAGAGAUGAGAGAAGGCCAUCCAAACAGCCAGGCCCAGCAGUGCCAGCAGCAGCCCCAGGCACAUCCCGGGCAUCCCCAAGAAUAUCUCAAGGUGCCCCAAUAAUCCCAUCAGCAACCUGAGCCUCCGCCUCCCCAACAGAUCCAAGCUGUGGGAACUCCCCACCCACUAAGCAGCCCCUGCUGCUCCAACAAUCCCAGCAGCAGCCCCAGCCACAGUAUUUUAUUCAUAAUGCUAAAGAGUUAAUUGGAGGGGAUUUGAAAGGGCCUCUAUUUAUUUGUCUUUGUAAACUUCUGCAUUGCUAAAACACAUAAGCUGGUAAUUAUCAUUAAAAUACAUCUACUCAAAAGACAACUAAGCCUAGCCGGUCACAAGAGGGUGAUGAAUGGGAUGUCCCAGUGAAGACUUCUCAGUGUAAUUAAGGUAAUGAGUUCAGGAGGUGGGAUAGGGUUAAGUAUAGAUUUCUGUAUGAUCAUCUUUUUUUUUUCUUUUCCUGGUGCCAGAUAUUAGUGGUAGGAAUUUGUCUAGUUGUUAAAGCUCUGGUCUUUGACCUUACCCAGAUGUGCUUUCUUUUUUGGCUCCCGUUAGUCUACCAGUCCCGGGAAACCCAAAAUUCUUCAAGUCCCCUUAUCUCCCUUUGACAGGAUUUUACUUAGAUGUCUUCCUGUUCCCAACAUUGUCUGUUCAAUCCCUAAAACCUUCCAAAACAAUUGUAAAUUAUCUUCCUAACCGCACAUUUUUUAUUGCUUCUUUGACAUUAUCUCAGCAAACUAAGAAAUAUAGAGAUGCAUACUAUGUCCUUUGUCCUAUGCUAGAGUCUAGCGUGUGAGAUUGUGAGCCGAGUUAAUGGACAGCUGUGAGGACGGGGGAACUGAGUCUUCAGGGUUAUAUAAGCUGAUUUCUACCUCUGUGGGCCAUCUCCCGUCAUCAGAGCUUACUGAUGGACUGACGGAGGGACACCCAAAUCUCGAGAUUUGAAAUAAUAAUAAUUAUACCUAUAAUAAAUUAACUUUCUGUUUCU